rnacentral:SRP_RNA from 2 species
ACCGGCGGUACGGCCAGCUCCCCAUUCACUUCCCCAGGGCCGGAAGGCAGCAAGGACAAUGGGUUGUAGCGGCGCGAUACCGCCUUUUUU